GGUGAACGCUGGCGGUAGGCCUAACACAUGCAAGUCGAACGGCAGCACAGUAAGAGCUUGCUCUUACGGGUGGCGAGUGGCGGACGGGUGAGGAAUACAUCGGAAUCUACUUUUUCGUGGGGGAUAACGUAGGGAAACUUACGCUAAUACCGCAUACGACCUACGGGUGAAAGCAGGGGAUCUUCGGACCUUGCGCGAUUGAAUGAGCCGAUGUCGGAUUAGCUAGUUGGCGGGGUAAAGGCCCACCAAGGCGACGAUCCGUAGCUGGUCUGAGAGGAUGAUCAGCCACACUGGAACUGAGACACGGUCCAGACUCCUACGGGAGGCAGCAGUGGGGAAUAUUGGGCAAUGGGCGCAAGCCUGAUCCAGCCAUACCGCGUGGGUGAAGAAGGCCUUCGGGUUGUAAAGCCCUUUUGUUGGGAAAGAAAAGCAGCAGGUUAAUACCCCGCUGUUCUGACGGUACCCAAAGAAUAAGCACCGGCUAACUUCGUG
rnacentral:rRNA from 1 species